rnacentral:lncRNA from 1 species
CUGCCAAGCGGAUACGGCCUCUACGACCGCAUGGCCACCGCCUCUGGGUGGGAGGGUGCUGCUAGCAGCCGCUCGUGCGAGCCAGCCUCCGUCGCCGUUCCCGAGCGGGAGGGUGCCGCUCCUGGCUCGCUCGCACAGGCCCGCACCGCCGCUCCCAUGAGCUGCCCUUGCCUCAAGCCCACGGUUGCUAAGGGGGCUGCUCGUCUGCGUGUCGUGCCUCCCCCGUUGAGCCCGAGGGUGGUGCUCGCCGUGGCUGCCAUCGUUGCGCUUGCUGCUGGAGGGCGAGCCCAUUGCCACCUUGCGCGGAGCGGGAGCUCCACCAUCGCCUCAUGCAUCUCCGGCGUCCGGUGGAGACCUUCCCAGUGGACCGUCGAUUUGGAUUGAGGAGAGGAAAU